rnacentral:rRNA from 1 species
UACGUAGGGGGGCUAGCGUUGUCCGGAUUUAUUGGGCGUAAAGAGCGUGUAGGCGGCCAGGUAGGUCUGGUGUGAAAACUCGAGGCUUAACCUCGAGAUGUCAUCGGAAACCAUUUGGCUAGAGUCCGGAAGAGGAGAGUGGAAUUCCUGGUGUAGCGGUGAAAUGCGCAGAUAUCAGGAAGAACACCCGUGGCGAAGGCGGCUCUCUGGGACGGUACUGACGCUGAGACGCGAAAGCGUGGGGAGCGAACAGG